UACGUAGGGGGCAAGCGUUGUCCGGAAUCAUUGGGCGUAAAGCGUGUGUAGGCGGGCCGUUAAGUGCCCCGUGAAAUCCCCCGGCUCAACCGGGGAACGGCGGGGCAUACUGGCGGCCUUGAGCCACUUAAGGGCAGACGGAACAAGCGGUGGAGCGGUGAAAUGCGUAGAUAUCGCUUGGAACGCCGACGGCGAAAGCAGUCUGCUGGGGGUGUGCUGACGCUGAGACACGAAAGCCAGGGGAGCGAACGGG
rnacentral:rRNA from 1 species